CUUUUUUUAAAAGAACAUGCAAGCUAACUUGUGAGAGAGAUUUCACAGAUAGUCUUUGUCUUCACCAGUAGGCCUAAAGAUUAUUUGGUAAAUUUUAAAAUACUCAGGAACAGUAGAGAGAAGUUGCACAGUCAAGGCCAAUAUUUUCCAAUUGAAAUGUGGAGGCUGAAGUAAUUGGAGAAGCUGAUAGUGACUGUUUCUGAUCCCAAAAUGAUUAUUAGGAUCAACAAUUCGGCACCGAAAAAGUUGGAGAGAAGCGAGCUGAAGGUUGGAUCCGCAUCUAAAUGCGGUGCCAACGCCUGCUCUUGCAAUCGCUGAUGCGUUUCCCUCAUCAACAAAGAAUGUAAUUUGGCAGGUCGCUCCUGCCUUCAGAGUGGUUACUGCGGUGCUGUCUCUUCAUAUAUGGUGAUGAUUCUGGGUCAUUUUCUCAAGUUUGAAACUGGAUGUGGUGAUGGCUAUUUCCAGAUAGAAAAUAGCUGAAUGCUGGAAAGAGUUGAAGAGACGAGCAACUCUGAUUUUGCACUUUGAUCUAACUGAAUUACAAAAGCCGUCCUUUGUAUUCUACAGCUCUAAGGAAUCGGAGUCUCAUUCUGUAUUAUGAUCGUCCUUCUGUGAGAAGAAUGUACUUUCAUUAUUAAAUUAUAUCAGAAAAUAUUCCUAUUGUGUUUUAUGGUUUUUUAAUCCUUAUAUUUUAUAAAGAAAGAUUUUGAGAACCAAGUUUCACAUGCCACUUUGGAUAGUAUAAUAUUCCCAUUGGAGUAAUUAGCUCUCUUCUUCCUGAUAAAAAAUAAAAUAAAAAGACCAAAGGAGAAAGGCAGAUGGAAAUCAAAGACUGCCUUUCCUACCUAAAGCUGGCGUUGGGGAAAACGGAUGCGUCCAUGGGCAAGCGGGCGGAAGGGGCGGGGCUACGCAUGCUCAGUUUCUCCUGGCAAACGUCAAUCAGGCCCCUUCGCCCUGGGGCCGAGGGGUGAGGGGCCCUGCAGGGAAAGGAGGCCAUGAGUGGCCCGGAGGCAUCCUCGACUUACUUGACAAAGUCUGCCAUAGUAGAUAAGAAAACUACAACACAGAGAGGUGAACUAACCUACCUAUGACCUCAUCACUAUUAAGGGCAGAGCCAACAGUCCAACUCCAGGACUCUGUCUUACCUCUGCACUUUGACCUUUCACAGUCUGUGAGUUCAGUGAAAGGAAUUGUUAUUGUGACUAACAUCAAAACAGAGAGAAUGAAUCAAAACGUCCAUCUCCUAUACCUCAAUAUGACAUUUUUCUUCUUUAGAAAUACAUGAGAAAUAUGUCAUUUCCAGCUUGGAGUAACAAAUGGCACAACCAUUUUACAGCUAAUUUUACUCCCCAGCCAGUUCUGAGAUGUUAAUAACUAGGGCUGUGCCAUCCCCAUCACAUUUUGGGUUUCUUAAAAAUAAUCCCCAGCUGUCUUCCAUUGUAUGCCAUUUUAUAAAAUAUCUUUUUCCCCAGUAUUUUUUUUCCCUUUUUAGGGAAACAAAAGCAUGUUUUAACAGCACCCAAUCCAUAUGCUUUUGAUUUACUUGUACUCAGAUCGCCAAAAUAUUGCUUUAUAAGAUGUAUUUUAUUCCUCUUCAAGCUAUCUUGAAUAAGAACUUUUUAACAUUUCCUUCCUCUCGAUCACUGAGCAGUGUUUUGCUAAGGGGAAGAAUAUCUAGAUAUCAUAACUGAAUUGGUUUAAAGCAGAAAGUCUGGACCUCUGUGGAGGACUUGGGAAAACAUGCUUCUCCGUCCAUUGCUCAAUCAUGGGACGAUUCAGAAACUCUAGGCAGCUGAUGGCCCAGCUUAGGGACACUCAUGGCUCCAGAGACACAAAAGCAUUUUUAAUCAUUGGUCAUUCCUACACACCCCACAGUGGAGCUGUAAGUACUUUCCCCUUUAUAGAAAAAAAAGGGGAUGAGUGGGAAAAGAAAUUUCUCUUGUCAGCUUGAGCUUUAAAAAGAAGAAGGAAGUAUGGGGUGAAUGGAUGUUUUUAAGCUCAGGCACAUGUUAGAGGGAGAGGAAAUGAGACUGAGUGAGAAACAAAGUGCUGACGCUGAAGGUCCUCAUGGCCUCAGAAUGACCCGUGAAUCUCACCAGUUCCUGUAACAAACACCACAAAAUACGCCUCAUGCAAACAGCAACUUUGUAAGGAAGCGCUGGCCUUGAGUGGAGUCAGCAGAAUCAGGAGUGGUGCCAAGCAGGGCUCCUCUGUAAGGUACAAAAGAGAACAGAAAGAGAUCUAAGACCUGAGGCCUUAGAAAAGACAUAAACAGGACAGAAAACCACUUGAUGGGACCAAGUGGUCCAUUUCUACCAGACAUCUGGAAGAGGUGGGGAAUGUGAACUGCGUGAACAUUUGAGGAUGAACAGUAGAGUGACUUCUUUUUUCCCAGCUUUAAAUUUGGGAUAUUCUCUUUUUCUGUGUGGGCUUUUUAGGUCCUCAAAGGAGAGACCCGAAUUCUGAGAAGUGGACAAGAGAAGGUUAGAUUGCUGUUCACAAAACAAUGAAUCAAAACCCUGAGUCCUUUCUGGAUUUACCUAUGUUGAAAAAAACAAACUUCCUUCGCGGCUGAGGAGAGCCCCUGCAAAGCAGUGGGAGGGGUGCCAGUGGCUGUGGUGGUCUGAGGACGGGCGGCUGGAGAGUGAGGAAACCCUGCAGGUGAGGCCUCGCCACCAGAAGGAACCACAACUGAAUGAGAAACCCCAUUCAGCAGAACAUGGAAAAGACCUUUUUGUUGUUUGAGAUGUUUCUUGUUUGUGGCAAGGCUGACAAUUCAGUAAGGCCCACAGCUGUGUUCAGGCCUAGGGCUUCCUCUGAGGCCUUUUCUCCAAAGCAGGAACGGAACCAGCGGGUGAGUCCUCCAUCCACCAGCUCAUGGGCCAGGCUCUGAAAUGUGUUUGGGAAAAGCUGAGCUUGGAGUGGCUGCCCUGAGAUUUUUAUCAGACUUAUGAAUUUAAGUUCAGUGGGAGGAAGCUGAGUAAAACUACCCGUUUGGGUUCAUGGAUGAUGCAUUUCUGGGCAUGAAGGCAUGAAAUUCAGCUCUCUUUAUCUGGAAUGUUGAAAUAAGUUGAGUCAACUAGUUUCCCAUUCUGGCCCUCACUAUGGCUAAUGACUAGACUGGUGAAGAAGACUGAGCUUUCCCAGGCCCUGCCUGGGCACCAUUGACAUCUGCUCCCCUGUUCAGUUUUCUCCCUGCUGUGUGCUCUGGACAUGCGUGAUGGUGACCUUGAACCAGGGAGCAGAAAAAAUAAGGAAGAGGAAGGCAAGGUGUCCUGCCUGUAGCAGUACCUGCAAAGUGGUGUGGGGGUGCUGUCUGUCCUCACACCGCAGCUGGGCGUGGCCCCAGGGAGCCUGCGGGCUCGGCCUCCCGCAUCCCCGAGUGCAUGGGAGCAUCACUCUCCAUGCUGGGAAGCGGAGGCUUUGGGGGGAGUGCCCGAAAUCUCUCUACUCUGCCCUUCGGUCAUCAUCACUGAAACUCGUACAUUGUUGAAAGAGCCAAGGUAUAUUUUAGCAAAACAAAUAUUGUAGAUAUUUGUUCAUUCAUUGAAGAUUGAUUUAUUCAUUCAUUGAAACAUUUUUUUACAUACUGACUUUAUGCUAGGUGCCGAGGAUACCAAAAUGACUAAGGCUGGGUUUCCUGCCCUCCUGGGCUCACAGUCUUGUGAGGAAGGUAGACAAGUAUGCAGAUAAUUCUAGAAGAAUUAUCCGCUUGAUAACAGGAGUAUGUGCAAAGUGCUCAGCCCUGCCCGGAAAUGUUGAGAAGACUGACAUAGGAGGCAGAUCUUGCAGGAGGCGUUAGGACGUCCAGGGAGCUUGCAGAAAGGAGCGUUGCCUGAGCACCAUGGAGGCUGAAUAAGAUUUUAAGCAGGGAGUGAAAGGCAAAGAAAGAAACUGGCCUUCCCGCUUCUGCCCCCAGUUGAGAUUCCAGUUCACCGAGAGAGUUUCUUUCCUCUGCGUGCUGAGAAGUGCUUCUUAGGAUGGCCCCGCACUGUUUACAUGCCACAGGUCAGGCUAGCAGUAGUUAUCAGGCCAAGCCUAGGAUUGUUGCUAUUUCUUGCAUAGACCCUUGAUAAAACCUGAAGACUUUAUAAAGAUUGUUGUGAUUCUUGCCCUCUAUCAAGUCAAAGGCUCCUUGGAAAAUGGGCGGAAAGUAAUAGCCCAUCUCCCCAGAAAAUGCACACACUUUUGCAUAACAUUUCAGGAGUUUCUGGAACUUUCCUUAUACUGCCCUCCCCCAGCCCAUUCAUAUAUUUUAGGUAAAGACCUCCAGCCUGUAAGCACUUUACAUAUAAGCACUUUACAUAUACUGGCUGUGUCAGGGGACUGGAAUAACCCAUAUGAGACACAGAAUUUUAUGGGAAUCUGGCCUCACUUGGGCAUUAAGCUUGGAGACUGAGGAAGAAAUGCUAUGAGGCAGACCUUCGGCCAGGCCAUGGCUGGGCAGGGGCACAGUGUUGGCAAGUGUCCUUUGCCCUGACUUAUUGUGGCCCGCUGGUCCUGGACCCAGCAAAAGCAAAAGCAGCUUUUAGCUCGUCAAGUUAGCUGCCUGCCAAAGGAGCUCAGUGUUGCACAUGGUUUUUGCCAGAUUAUCUGCUAGUUACACUCCAGUGUACCUGCUGGUGUGUGUGCUUUCUUUUGACUUCAGUUGGUGUGUCGAGUCAACCAGGAGAGACUGUGGUGGGAUAGAGGUAGACCAAGACUAUUUCAGAGGGGAAGAGUGAAGACAGACGUGUGGGGGAGCUACAGGAGUUGUGGGUCAGCUUAUUUCUAGGCAGAGCUUUGAAAGGACACAAAAUCCUUUUGCAGAGGGCUUUGGCAGGGCCAGUAGUAGGUGGAGGCAACAGAGGCAUUUGCUGUGGGUACGAAAUGUAAGAGGUGCCAAAAAAAAUCUCAGUAAUCAAACCAUAUUUUAAUGCAAUUAAAAAAUAAAAACUAAUGCAAAAAAUUGA